GACGUAGGGUGCAAGCGUUGUCCGGAUUUAUUGGGCGUAAAGAGCUCGUAGGUGGUUUGUCGCGUUGUUCGUGAAAACUCACAGCUUAACUGUGGGCGUGCGGGCGAUACGGGCAGACUGGAGUACUGCAGGGGAGACUGGAAUUCCUGGUGUAGCGGUGGAAUGCGCAGAUAUCAGGAGGAACACCGGUGGCGAAGGCGGGUCUCUGGGCAGUAACUGACGCUGAGGAGCGAAAGCGUGGGGAGCGAACAGG
rnacentral:rRNA from 1 species